rnacentral:rRNA from 1 species
UGGCUCAGGACGAACGCUGGCGGCGUGCUUAACACAUGCAAGUCGAACGGUGACCCUCGGAGCUUGCUUCGGGGUGAACAGUGGCGAACGGGUGAGUAACACGUGAGUAACCUGCCCCUGACUCUGGAAUAAGCGCUGGAAACGGCGUCUAAUACCGGAUAUGACACACCCUCGCAUGGGGAGUGUGUGGAAAGUUUUUCGGUCUGGGAUGGACUCGCGGCCUAUCAGCUUGUUGGUGAGGUAAUGGCUCACCAAGGCGAUGACGGGUAGCCGGCCUGAGAGGGCGACCGGCCACACUGGGACUGAGACACGGCCCAGACUCCUACGGGAGGCAGCAGUGGGGAAUAUUGCACAAUGGGCGAAAGCCUGAUGCAGCGACGCCGCGUGAGGGAUGACGGCCUUCGGGUUGUAAACCUCUUUCAGCAGGGAAGAAGCGAAAGUGACGGUACCUGCAGAAGAAGCACCGGCUAACUACGUGCCAGCAGCCGCGGUAAUACGUAGGGUGCGAGCGUUGUCCG